GGGGGGCACUGGGAGCCACUGGGAACCACUGGGAGCAUCUGGGAGGGAGGGCACUGGGAGCCACUGGGAGGCCCUGGGGGUCACUGGGAUGGCACCUGGGUGUUACUGGGAGGUCCUGUGGUUACUGGGAGGGCACCUGGGAGCCAAUGGGAGGCCCCGGGGGUUACUGGGAGGGCACCUGGGGGUUACUGGGAGGGCACCUGGGUGUUA